AAAGUGGAGCAAUCCAUGAGUAAAGUGGCGCACGGGUGAGUAACACGUGAAUUAUCUACCUCCGAGUGGGGAAUAACUGAGAGAAAUCUUAGCUAAUACCGCAUAACACUUACGAGUCAAAGCAGCAAUGCGCUUGGAGAGGAGUUCGCGGCCGAUUAGUUAGUUGGCGGGGUAAUGGCCCACCAAGACGAUGAUCGGUAUCCGGCCUGAGAGGGCGCACGGACACACUGGAACUGAAACACGGUCCAGACUCCUACGGGAGGCAGCAGUGGGGAAUUUUGCGCAAUGGGGGAAACCCUGACGCAGCAACGCCGCGUGGAGGAUGAAAUCCCUUGGGAUGUAAACUCCUUUCGAUAGGGAAGAUAAUGACGGUACCUAUAGAAGAAGCCCCGGCUAACUUCGUGCCAGCAGCCGCGGUAAUACGAGGGGGGCAAGCGUUGUUCGGAAUUAUUGGGCGUAAAGGGUGCGUAGGCGGUUUGACAAGUCUGAUGUGAAAUCUAUGGGCUCAACCCAUAGUCUGCAUUAGAAACUGUCGGGCUUGAGUAUGGGAGAGGUGAGUGGAAUUUCCGGUGUAGCGGUGAAAUGCGUAGAUAUCGGAAGGAACACCUGUGGCGAAAGCGGCUCACUGGACCAUUACUGACGCUGAUGCACGAAAGCUAGGGGAGCAAACAGGAUUAGAUACCCUGGUAGUCCUAGCCCUAAACGAUGAUUGCUUGAUGUGGCAGGUACCCAAUCCUGCCGUGUCGAAGCUAACGCGAUAAGCAAUCCGCCUGGGGAGUACGGUCGCAAGGCUGAAACUC
rnacentral:rRNA from 1 species